CCCCACCACCUCUCCCUCUCUCUUGUUCGAGAUGCUUCGGCACUUCACAGAACGAUCGGCGUAUGACAUCAAACUACCGCGAGACGCAGCCCCUCCUCGAUCUGCAUGGGACAGAUCCCGCGUGAUUUCAUUCAGCAUUUCCCAUCCCCCACCCGGCAUGCGCUGAAUCACGCCGGCGCAAUUAUUCACUGACCGCUUUGCUGUAAUUUUCGGGAGGAGAGGAGACGUUUGCCAUCAGUGUAUCCAAGAAAGUAAUUGGACGGUCUCGGAUGUUGAUGCAAUGGAGCAGCAAUUGGCAGACCCUACCUUCCAGAAACAAGUGAUUAUACUUGUCUAGGUGGGUCGUGGAAUGGAAAAGUUUGGGAACCCCUGCUCUAG